rnacentral:rRNA from 1 species
AGCGAACGCUGGCGGCAGGCCUAACACAUUCAAGUCGAACGAACCCUUCGGGGUUAGUGGCGGACGGGUGAGUAACACGUGGGAACGUGCCUUUAGGUUCGGAAUAACUCAGGGAAACUUGUGCUACUACCGAAUGUGCCCUUCGGGGGAAAGAUUUAUCGCCUUUAGAUCGGCCCGCGUCUGAUUAGCUAGUUGGUGAGGUAAUGGCUCACCAAGGCUACGAUAAGUAGCUGGUCUGAGAGGAUGACCAGCCACAUUGGGACUGAGACACGGCCCAAACUCCUACGGGAGGCAGCAGUGGGGAAUCUUGCGCAAUGGGCGAAAGCCUGACGCAGCCAUGCCGCGUGGAUGAUGAAGGUCUUAGGAUUGUAAAAUCCUUUAACCGGUGAAGAUAAUGACUGUAGCCGGAGAAGAAGCCCCGGCUAACUUCGUGCCAGCAGCCGCGGUAAUAC